rnacentral:rRNA from 1 species
GACAGAGGAUGCAAGCGUUAUCCGGAAUGAUUGGGCGUAAAGCGUCUGUAGGUGGCUUUUUAAGUCCGCCGUCAAAUCCCAGGGCUCAACCCUGGACAGGCGGUGGAAACUACCAAGCUGGAGUACGGUAGGGCAGAGGGAAUUUCCGGUGGAGCGGUGAAAUGCGCAGAGUAUCAAGGAAGGAACACCGAUAGGCGAAGCAGGUC